CCUGGGCGUGGUGGCGCGCACCUGUAGUCCCAGCUACUUGGGAGGCUGAGGCAGGAGAAUCGCUUGAGCCCGGGAGGCUGAGGUUGCAGUGAGCCAAAAUCCCCCCAUUGCACUCCAGCCUGGGCAACAGAGCGAGACUCUGUCUCCA
rnacentral:SRP_RNA from 1 species